rnacentral:rRNA from 1 species
GACGAACGCUGGCGGCGUGCUUAACACAUGCAAGUCGAACGGUGAAGCGCCUUCCUUUUUGGUGGGUGUGGAUGAGUGGCGAACGGGUGAGUAACACGUGAGUAACCUGCCCCCUUCGUCUGGAUAACCGCAUGAAAGUGUGGCUAAUACGGGAUAUUCUGGGUCUGUGGCAUGAUGGGUCUGGGAAAGAUAUUGUGUCGGUGGGGGAUGGGCUUGCGGCCUCUCAGCUUGUUGGUGGGGUGAGGGCCUACCAAGGCGGUGACGGGUAGCCGGCCUGGGAGGGUGGCCGGUCAGACUGGGUCUGAGGCUCGGCCCGGACUGCUAUGGGACGCAGCCGUGGGUCAUACUGCACACUGGGGUGAAGCCUGAUGCAGCGUCGCCGCGUGCGGGAUGGAGCCCUUCGGGUUGUGAACCUCUUUCGCUAGUGAAGCAGGCCUGCCUCGUUUGUGGGUGGGUUGACGGUAGCUGGUUAAGAAGCGCCGGCUAACUACGUG